rnacentral:tRNA from 1 species
AAUAAAGUGCCUGAUUAAAGGGCUAUUUUGAUAGAAUAGAUUAUGCUAAAUUAGCCUUUAUUA